ACCCCAGUAGCUCAGUGGUAGAGCUAUCGGCUGUUAACCGAUCGGUCGUAGGUUCGAGUCCUACCUGUGGAGCCA
rnacentral:tRNA from 1 species